rnacentral:rRNA from 1 species
UACGAAGGGGGCUAGCGUUGUUCGGAAUUACUGGGCGUAAAGCGCGCGCAGGCGGCUAUCCAAGUCAGUGGUGAAAGCCCGGAGCUCAACUCCGGAACUGCCAUUGAAACUGUUUAGCUGGAGUAUGAGAGAGGUGAGUGGAAUUCCCAGUGUAGAGGUGAAAUUCGUAGAUAUUGGGAAGAACACCGGUGGCGAAGGCGGCUCACUGGCCCGGUACUGACGCUGAGGCACGAAAGCGUGGGGAGCAAACAGG